UACGUAGGGUCCGAGCGUUGUCCGGAAUUAUUGGGCGUAAAGGGCUCGUAGGCGGUUGGUCACGUCGGGAGUGAAAACUCAGGGCUCAACCCUGAGCGUGCUUCCGAUACGGGCCGACUAGAGGUAUGCAGGGGAGAACGGAAUUCCUGGUGUAGCGGUGGAAUGCGCAGAUAUCAGGAGGAACACCGGUGGCGAAGGCGGUUCUCUGGGCAUUACCUGACGCUGAGGCACGAAGGCCAGGGGAGCAAACGGG
rnacentral:rRNA from 1 species